rnacentral:lncRNA from 12 species
ACUGCAUUGGACUGGGCUGGCUUAUUUGCUUUUAAUUAUUUGUUUGAUUAUUUAGCAGACGGAGAGGAGCAGUUCCCUGCCCUUUCGAUACUGAAUCCCUGGAGUCAAGUGUCAGGCUUGGCACUGAUCAAGAAUCCAGCAAACGUGUACCACAAACAAAUGGAAGUUGAAUUAAUUAUGAUGCCCUUGAAAGGUGCCAGGUCCCGGGCCCCUUCUGCUCGUAGAUCUUUGGCCCUGUCUGGCCUCCACGCACUGCACGUCAUUACCUGUG